AAAAAAAAGAAAAACAUGGAAACUCCGUCCUCUCACUCCCUCUUUCUCUCUCGCUCUUUCUCUCGUCGAACAACAACAUCGAGUUGUACCAGAUACAAGUUUAAACUAGUUUCAAUCUGCGUUUAAAAUUCUCGCGAAUGGCAGAGAGCAGAGAAAAGUCGCGAUCUCUCUCACUCCUGGAUUUAAACAAGAACAGACAUUCUCGUGUUGCAACCUUCUGUCUGUUUCCGCUAGAAAAGAAAGCGGACGGUGGAGGAAGAAUUCGUGAGGCUUUUCAAGAGAAAGAGAUUCGCAUGUACCUGCUGCUGAAUGAAGGGGAUGACUAAAAAGAUCCCCCCGAUCAUUCACAGGAAAGAGGCAUCGCACUAAACGCGCCUACGUGACACAGAUCGACGACAUCGACGAGACAUCCUUUAUCCAAGUAACGUCGCAAUUUUAUAAAAAACCGAUCGACGAACAGUAUCUCUUUUCCUCUCUUUAUUUACCCCUUCCCUUUCUCUCUGCCUUUUUUCUUUUUCCUUUUCCUUUUCACAUCUUCCGGAAGAGAAACAAAUAUUGACCAAAGUGAAUUCGUGAGAGGACGGAGCCUCGAUGCUAUGUGUUACGUAUAUAUGUGUAUAUCGCGUUGGGAAGGAGAUGACACAUGUGUAUCGUCUCUCAUACGUCACGUAUAUGCGUCUCGAUAGUGUGUGUAAGAGCAGCGAUAUAGUAAUACAGUAGAGUAGUAGUGUAGUAGUAGUAGUAGUAGUAGUAGUAGUAGUAGUAGUAAUAGAGUAGUAGUAGUAAUAGUAGUAGUAGUAUAGUACUAAUGUAGUGGUAAUAGCAGUAUUGGUAAUAAUGUAUAGUAGCAAUAGCGACAGUCCGUGUGAAAAUUACGUCUGUUUCGUCAUUGAAUAAAAAAUGUGGAGGCAAACCUUUGGAUUAGAGUCUCGGCCACGGAAACACUCUCUAAUGCCAUUGUUUUGUCCCGAUCGAUCGUGUUUUGUACCAUACGAUAUACCACUGUGGCCCGAAGUUGAUCAUUCGAUCGAUAGACGCGACCACACACGACGGAUCUUUGCUCGUGGAUUCGCGUGCCUGUAUAUGAUCAUUUGAGACUUUGAAAAUAACUUGAUAAUGGGCAAAUAAACUCAAAGGAAGGCCCGAUU